CUCAGAACGAACGCUGGCGGCAGGCCUAACACAUGCAAGUCGAGCGCUACCUUCGGGUGGAGCGGCGGACGGGUUAGUAACGCGUGGGAACGUACCCAGAUCUAAGGAAUAGCCACUGGAAACGGUGAGUAAUACCUUAUACGCCCUUCGGGGGAAAGAUUUAUCGGAUUUGGAUCGGCCCGCGUUAGAUUAGAUAGUUGGUGGGGUAAUGGCCUACCAAGUCUACGAUCUAUAGCUGGUUUUAGAGGAUGAUCAGCAACACUGGGACUGAGACACGGCCCAGACUCCUACGGGAGGCAGCAGUGGGGAAUCUUGGACAAUGGGCGCAAGCCUGAUCCAGCCAUGCCGCGUGAGUGAUGAAGGCCUUAGGGUCGUAAAGCUCUUUCGCCAGAGAUGAUAAUGACAGUAUCUGGUAAAGAAACCCCGGCUAACUCCGUGCCAGCAGCCGCGGUAAUACGGAGGGGGUUAGCGUUGUUCGGAAUUACUGGGCGUAAAGCGUACGUAGGCGGAUUAGUCAGUCAGAGGUGAAAUCCCAGGGCUCAACCCUGGAACUGCCUUUGAUACUGCUAGUCUUGAGUUCGAGAGAGGUGAGUGGAAUUCCAAGUGUAGAGGUGAAAUUCGUAGAUAUUUGGAGGAACACCAGUGGCGAAGGCGGCUCACUGGCUCGAUACUGACGCUGAGGUACGAAAGUGUGGGGAGCAAACAGGAUUAGAUACCCUGGUAGUCCACACCGUAAACGAUGAAUGCCAGUCGUCGGGCAGUAUACUGUUCGGUGACACACCUAACGGAUUAAGCAUCCGC
rnacentral:rRNA from 1 species